ACUCCCAAACCCCAAUGUGAACGUUACCAAUCUGUUGCCUCGGCGGGAUUCUCUUGCCCCGGGCGCGUCGCAGCCCCGGAUCCCAUGGCGCCCGCCGGAGGACCAACUCCAAACUCUUUUUUUCUCUCCGUCGCGGCUCCCGUCGCGGCUCUGUUUUAUUUUUGCUCUGAGCCUUUCUCGGCGACCCUAGCGGGCGUCUCGAAAAUGAAUCAAAACUUUCAACAACGGAUCUCUUGGUUCUGGCAUCGAUGAAGAACGCAGCGAAAUGCGAUAAGUAAUGUGAAUUGCAGAAUUCAGUGAAUCAUCGAAUCUUUGAACGCACAUUGCGCCCGCCAGUAUUCUGGCGGGCAUGCCUGUCCGAGCGUCAUUUCAACCCUCGAACCCCUCCGGGGGGUCGGCGUUGGGGAUCGGCCCCUCACCGGGCCGCCCCCGAAAUACAGUGGCGGUCUCGCCGCAGCCUCUCCUGCGCAGUAGUUUGCACACUCGCACCGGGAGCGCGGCGCGGCCACAGCCGUAAAACACCCCAAACUUCUGAAAUGUUGACCUCGGAUCAGGUAGGAAUACCCGCUGAACUUAAGCAUAUCAAUAAGCGGAGGAAAAGAAACCAACAGG
rnacentral:rRNA from 1 species